UUGGCUGUGAUGAGACGCGCAGGGGUACGGACCUCAGCUACAAAUGGGAGCUGAAUGUCAGUGGCUUUAUACCGGUCAGCAGGCAUGUGGUCAGCUGACUGGUGGCCACUGGCAUGAAACAGUCGCAAGUCUGAGCCAC
ensembl:snoRNA